GAAGAUUGGUUGGGUUGGUUUUUUUAAAAAAGGGAAUUGCUGCGUUUCUAUCCAUCUUUGUAUUCAGGAGAUGGUUACCUAGCCAAGGUCGUCGCUGCUGCAUGCCAGUAUCAAGCAGCGAGCCAGCCUCCUCUUCCUUCAAUGUGCACGGAUUUCAGUAAGGCUUCCCCAGGUAAGGAACGGGAACGGGCUCGAACCUGCCAACGCAAGGUCCCAAGCCGCUGCUGGGUCGCGAAAGCCGCAGGAAGAGUUUCCCCUGUUACAAAGGCAGCAGAGGAGAUGAAUGAAACUGUAAUCAAACAUUCCCUGUGCAGACAUGCAGGGGGAUCGGUUAUGAGCCCGUGCAGUAUGAGGCACAGCGGGGUGCGUGGUUGUGUGCUGCCAUCACCCGUGACAGCGUGUGCGGGGCCGCCUGCCCCCGGCACCCCAGUCUAGCUCGCACACAGACGAGAGCCAUCCUGCGCUGGCCCCUUCCGAGUCCGCCUGGAGGCUCUGGCCCCUCCGGCGCUCGCCUGCAGCAGCGCCGAUGUUUGCUGACAUUUGCGGGCUCCUGGCAGGGCGACCUGCAGCCUGCUGGCCCCUGCCUUCGUGCCAGGCCGGCUUGCACGCUGCAAACGUGCAGCCGGACGCUCCCGGCGAGGAGGCUGCGAGGUUGCAUCACUUGCCGCUCCCUCCCCGUGGAAUUUUACAAACAUUAAUGAAUGGGGCCGGAUGGCUGCUGUGACGCCAAUCAGCCAUGCACAGAUUUAUAGUCUGAGGCCAGGAGAGAUUACGCUCCUGCCUCUGGCGCUGCACCAACGACAGCAAUUCCAUGUGUGUGCCGACGAGCCCACCAGGCCAGCGCCCGCAGCAGCCCUGUCCUCACGUGCUGGUUGUUAUGCUCGUGGCAGUGACGUCCCCGCAGCAGGGACACGAGCCGUGCUAAGCUGCAGUGUGACACAAAACUCCUCUCGGGACUGGGAGCUGUGACAGUGCUUUCUUUGUCAUUCCCCCCUUGUCAUCUUCCCACCGCAUGUACAUUUGCUCAUCGUUAGGAGGGUAUUGCUGAUGACUAAAACCUGGGUCUGCACCAACAGAGAAGACGUCGGAAGGAGCAGCCCAGAACUGCGGGGUUCAAACUCGUAAGAAGAGUGAGAAGUGGGGACAGUGUGUUUCCUCACAUCUAUUAGAUCUGGAGAGCAAACCGCUCUCCCAGUCCUUCCUAGCUGAGGGGGAAUUGCAUCACUGGCGCGUGCAGAUUUAUUUUUUUUUUUCCCCUGAAAUCUGCUUGGUUUAUUGUUUUCCUCCGAUGGAAUUUGCCAGCGUGUCCCAAAUGAUGUGGUUCUGAAAUUUCAAAGCAACGUACCUGCGUGGGGGAGAGAACGAGCGGUUUUCACUUUGCAAUCUGGCUCUUCCCUCCCUCCUCUCUUUUCCCCACAUCCCCAUGUGUUACCGAGCCAGCUGCUCCCGGAAUAGUUUGGGAAUGAAAUGUCACCGUUUGAAACUGGUGAGUCACACUUUUUAAAGGGGAGGGGGAAGAAUAUGAAAUUUGCAGUGUGGCAGAGCGUCUCUGGUGAGUACAGAGAUAUUUUUUUUUUAUUUAUUUAUUUUUUAAACCCACAAGACUCCCUGAUGAUGGAGUCGAGGGGCUUUGAAUAAAGGCUGCUGGGUGUGUCCACACUGCUUUUUGCAGGAGGAUCUCCAAACCCUCUGCAAACUUGAAUUGUCUUCCCUAAGGUGCCCACUGCAGCUGGAUCCUAGAGCCUCCCCCAGCAGGACCGGGCUGUAUCUGUCUGACAACACACCUACGGUGACUCUCUUAAUUAAGUCUCCCCGCACUGCUGCGAGACUGUUUCAGUGAUUUGGCUUCCACUGCGGGCCUGCAAAGAGUUGAACCAGAAACACUGCAGGAGCUGUAAAUUGCGGCAGCAACCUAGGAGUGAGCCAUGGAACCAGGCUUCUUUUUAACCUAUGGGCCGUGAAUCCUCGGAAUUCUGUGCACUGCUUUGAAGAGAUCUGCAAAAGGUCGCAAA